AGUCUGUGUGCUGACACCGUUACCCAGGUGAUUCAAAUGCACAACAAUGUUGGGAAGCUGUAGGGUACUUGUUCAGGUUGAAUGGUACCGAAAGAGAGCUGACAGUAAUAUCUUGAGAUGACAGCACAGUGUAAAGCAAGGUUUUUCAGAACAAGGGAGAUGCACACAGGUUUUUAGUCAGAAAGAAAGGGACAGGAGGAGCGGAAGAUGCUCAAAAGGGGAAGAGAGAGUUGAUGAAGAAAGUGGAUGGAACCAGGAGCCCGAAGAGAGAAGCUUCUCCCUCUGCAGGAGGGAAGGAGGAUGCCGGGAGAAGGGAGGAAGGAUAUCACAAGAAAAGAUUUGCAAAGCGUCUCUGCUGUUGAAAUGGAUGUAACAAAAAGGUAUGAGAGUUAAUACAACAACCUGCAGGCCAGAUGCUGCUGCUUCAUGUUUGAUUUCCAAAAGAAAACCAUGAAAACCUUUCAUUGUAAAAAUGAUUGGCAUCCUUUGAAAAGCUCAAGAGGAGAAACAUGUCCUGGAAUUUUUAAAGGAGAUAAAGUCUUUCUUCCCUUGACUUUCUUUGCCUCAUGCUCUUAAAAUCGGAAGAAAUCUUUUGAACCAGAACUUUUUUAAGAAGAUAGAAAAAAGUUUGUGCCUUCCCAAUGGCAGAAGCAUGGGAGAGAGUAUGUAUGGGAACUGUGUGCUGAGCAGUAGGGAGGAGAACCAACUAAAGGUGAAGGAAAAGUACAAAAAAGAGAGAUUUUGCACACCAAAGAGAAAUCUCUCCUGUUUCACAAGUUUUAUCAGGGUGGCCCUAAAAUGUUUUCCUUCAAUUCAUGUGAGUUUAAUAUUCAAGGUAUGUGAAUAGCCCAGUAGAUGCUUGUAAACUUGUUUUAAAAAUAGUUCUAGGAGGCCGGCCGGGUGGCGCAGCGGUUAAGUGCGCACGUUCACCACCUCUGAGCGGCCUGGGGUUCGCCGGCUCGGAUCCCGGGUGCGGACAUGGCACCGCUUGCCACGCCAUGCUGUGGUAGGAGUCCCACAUAUAAAAUAGAGGAAGAUGGGCACGAUGUUAGCUCAGGGCCAGGCUUCCUCAGCAAAAAGAGGAGGACUGGCAGUAGUUAGCUCAGGGCUAAUCUUCCUCAAAAAAAAAAAAAAAAAAGUUCUAAUUUUUUUCCCAUGGUUUUCAUUUUUGCUGUCAUGAAAAUUCAAUUUUUCAAUACCCCUCUUGGAGUUAAGAUUUAAAAUAUGCUUUCUUUUUCUUUCUUAUUUUUUUUCCCAACUGAUUGUGAAAUAAAGCAAAAACAUAAUGUGCUUUGUCCCCUAGGCAGGGUUUGAGGGUUUUUUAAUCCAAUGCAAAUAUAGUAAGUUGAUUGGAAUAUAUCCAGAAUCUUACAUCGUUUGUCAAACAAAUACUCAUGCCAUGUCUGCUUCAAAGUCAAUGCUCCUAGCAAUUUUCACUUGACAACAAAACUGUUUUCAUGAAAUUUCACAUUUGAGAUUUUUACGUAAGUUGACAUUGAGAAAUCUUAACUUGUUCUCAUCUGCUUGGCUUCAAUUUAAAACCUUAUAAUUUAAGAAGAUAGUUGCAGAAACAAAAAUCCACCUCGAGCAUGAGAAGGCUAAGUCAUAGUUGCCGUGACAAUGUGCCUUGCCUCUCCUGGCUCUGUUGGGAAUGGUGCUCUGUCAUCACUUCACCGAAGAAUCUGUAGGUACUUUCUGCCACCAGAGCUGUUCCUCAAGAUAGUUUCAAUGAAUGGAACGAGCAUCUCACCUAAGUGGAAAAUUCCUGUCCUUGACAUAUACCAACAGGUCACCACCACAGCCUGGCUUGAUGAGCAGUGUAUAGCUCCAGGCCCAGGAUCUGAACCCAUGAACCCCGGGCCAUGGAAGUGGAGCAUGCGAACUCAACCACUAUGCCAUGGGGCUGGACCCAGCUCUGCUCUCU
ensembl:lncRNA